CAGGGAAUAGUUUAAUCAGAACGUCAGCUUUGGGUGUUGGUGGUGUGGUUGUUGCCUCUUCCUUGA
rnacentral:tRNA from 1 species